rnacentral:rRNA from 1 species
UACAGAGGUCCCAAGCGUUGUUCGGAUUCACUGGGCGUAAAGGGUGCGUAGGCGGUCGGGUAAGUCUGAUGUGAAAUCUCACAGCUUAACUGUGAAACUGCAUUGGAUACUAUCCGGCUCGAGGGUUGGAGGGGGGACUGGAAUACUUGGUGUAGCAGUGAAAUGCGUAGAUAUCAAGUGGAACACCAGUGGCGAAGGCGAGUCCCUGGACAACUCCUGACACUGAGGCACGAAAGCUAGGGGAGCAAACAGG